AGUAAAAUCAGCUAAUUAAGCUCUUGGGCCCAUACCCCAAACAUGUUGGUUAAAAUCCUUCUUUUACUA
rnacentral:tRNA from 1 species